GUCAAAGGGAGCGAUCCCGGUGAUGGAUGAGCAUGCGGCGCAUUAGCUAGUCGGCGGGGUAACGGCCCACCGAGGCGACGAUGCGUAGGGGUUCUGAGAGGAAGGUCCCCCACAUUGGGACUAAGACACGGUCCAAACUCCUACGGGAGGCAGCAGUGAGGAAUAUUGGUCAAUGGGCGGAAGCCUGAACCAGCCAAGUCGCGUGAGGGAUUAAGGCCCUACGGGUCGUAAACCUCUUUUGUCAGGGAGCAAAUGCGCCCACGUGUGGGCGAGUGGAGAGUACCUGAAGAAAAAGCAUCGGCUAACUCCGUGCCAGCAGCCGCGGUAAUACGGAGGAUGCGAGCGUUAUCCGGAUUUAUUGGGUUUAAAGGGUGCGUAGGCGGGUUGUUAAGUCAGCGGUAAAAUUGCGGUGCUCAACGCCGUAGAGCCGUUGAAACUGGCGGCCUUGAGUGGGCGAGAAGUAUGCGGAAUGCGUGGUGUAGCGGUGAAAUGCAUAGAUAUCACGCAGAACCCCGAUUGCGAAGGCAGCAUACCGGCGCCCUACUGACGCUGAGGCACGAAAGUGCGGGUAUCGAACAGGAUUAGAUACCCUGGUAGUCCGCACAGUAAACGAU
rnacentral:rRNA from 1 species